CAAUUUCAAAACAAAGCGUAGGAGGAUAUUAAAUUUAUUUUUGCACUGUGUACGAAAGAUCAGCAUUUUCGCUCAGACGCAAUGCUGCACUUCUCCGGUUGCCUUCCUUUGUCCGUUACAGUUAUUCGAAACCCAUUAGUUGAAGUUACUGCCGAAGACUUUGGACGUUCUUUCUCUGAGCUGUCACUUUGUAAAGAAGCAGAUCUUUCAAAUCGGGGUAAAGUUUGACUCUGUGGACAUGGAACUUGCCCAUUAACUGUGAUCUGAAAAAGUUAAGACACAUCAAUAUGAUGGAGACCACCUUAAGUAAAAGAGAAUUGGCUGGUAAAAAGUCUAUUAUGCCGUAAAGCUCUGGCAGCCUAGCUUAAAGAAACCUGCCUAUAUUAUAAGAUAUAAUCUAUUACAGAAGUUUUACUGAUCUAUAUGAUGGAAAUUUUUCAAUGUUCAAUAGAAUUAAUUGGACUCAAGUACACCAUACAGCUCUGGCAGCCUAGCUUAAAGAAACUGUCUAUAUUAUAAGAUAAGAUCUAUUUUAGAAGUUGAACGCAUCUAGUUAAUAGCUGCUAAUUGGAUUACAAGAUACAACCUAUUACAGAAGUUGUUGCAUCCAUAUGAUGGACAUCUCAUUAAGUUCAUUGCAACUAAUUGGGCACAAUUACACGCCAUACAGCUGUGGCAGCCUAGCUUAAAGAAACUUGCCUAUGUUAUGAGAUACGAUCUAUUUCAGAAGUUGGACAGAUCUAUAUGAUGGAAAUUUUUCAAAAUGGAAUUAAUUGGACACAAGUACACCAUACAGAUCUGGAAGACUAAAAAAAAAAAUUUUUUUAAUCCUUUUUUAUAGAAACAAUGGCUAUUCAUGUGAAGUAAAUGAACAAUUUCAAAACUGAGGCAACAUUACAGAGAGAAAUAAUAUCUUUGGAAGCAGUAAUUAUUAUUAUUAUUGUUUUCAAUUUAUGAGUGUCACGCCACACCUGACUCC